rnacentral:rRNA from 1 species
CACGUAGGGGGCAAGCGUUGUCCGGAUUUAUUGGGCGUAAAGAGCUCGUAGGUGGUUCGAUAAGUCAGGUGUGAAACCUCCAGGCUCAACCUGGAGACGCCACUUGAUACUGCUGUGACUGGAGUCCGGUAGGGGAGCGUGGAAUUCCUGGUGUAGCGGUGAAAUGCGCAGAUAUCAGGAGGAACACCAGCGGCGAAGGCGGCGCUCUGGGCCGGUACUGACACUGAGGAGCGAAAGCGUGGGUAGCAAACAGG